UACCUGGUGGUCCAGGGGUUAAGACUCUGCACUUGCAUUGCAAGGGGCCCAGGUUUAAUUCCUGGUCAGGGAC
rnacentral:tRNA from 1 species